GCUCCAGUUGCCUAGUGGUUAGAGCGUCCGCCUCGUAUGCGGGAGGUCGCGAGUUCUAUCCUCGGUCGAGUCA